AGGACGAACGCUGGCGGCGUGCUUAACACAUGCAAGUCGAGCGGAAAGGCCCUUCGGGGUACUCGAGCGGCGAACGGGUGAGUAACACGUGAGUAAUCUGCCCCUAGCUCUGGGAUAGCUCCGGGAAACCGGGAUUAAUACCGGAUACGACCACCUUAGACAUCUUUUGUGGUGGAAAGAAUUUCGGCUAGGGAUGAGCUCGCGGCCUAUCAGCUUGUUGGUGGGGUAACGCCUACCAAGGCGACGACGGGUAGCCGGCCUGAGAGGGCGACCGGCCACACUGGGACUGAGACACGGCCCAGACUCCUACGGGAGGCAGCAGUGGGGAAUAUUGCGCAAUGGGCGAAAGCCUGACGCAGCGACGCCGCGUGGGGGAUGAAGGCCUUCGGGUUGUAAACCCCUUUCAGCAGGGACGAAGCGAAAGUGACGGUACCUGCAGGAAGAAGCGCCGGCUAACUACGUGCCAGCAGCCGC
rnacentral:rRNA from 1 species